rnacentral:ncRNA from 1 species
CACGGUCGAUCGGCUCUACUCCACUCAGAUAGCUCCGGUCCGCCAAAAAAGGAGGAAAAAUACCCAUCCGCCCGACUUGCGGUGCGGCAGUGUGGAGACCUGCCGUAAUCCGGCGCUUCGCGUCGGGAGAUGCGCGCAUGCGGAGGCACGCGCAUUAAAGUCAGAUGUAUGGCA